GUACACUCCUACGGGAGGCAGCAGUGGGGAAUUUUGGACAAUGGGCGAAAGCCUGAUCCAGCAAUGCCGCGUGAGUGAAGAAGGCCUUCGGGUUGUAAAGCUCUUUUGUCAGGGAAGAAACGGUGAGAGCUAAUAUCUCUUGCUAAUGACGGUACCUGAAGAAUAAGCACCGGCUAACUACGUGCCAGCAGCCGCGGUAAUACGUAGGGUGCAAGCGUUAAUCGGAAUUACUGGGCGUAAAGCGUGCGCAGGCGGUUUUGUAAGUCUGAUGUGAAAUCCCCGGGCUCAACCUGGGAAUUGCAUUGGAGACUGCAAGGCUAGAAUCUGGCAGAGGGGGGUAGAAUUCCACGUGUAGCAGUGAAAUGCGUAGAUAUGUGGAGGAACACCGAUGGCGAAGGCAGCCCCCUGGGUCAAGAUUGACGCUCAUGCACGAAAGCGUGGGGAGCAAACAGGAUUAGAAACCCUUGUAGUCCCAUGAU
rnacentral:rRNA from 1 species